rnacentral:rRNA from 1 species
GAUGAACGCUAGCUACAGGCUUAACACAUGCAAGUCGCGGGGCAGCAUGGGGGUUGCUUGCCAUCCCCGAUGGCGACCGGCGCACGGGUGAGUAACGCGUAUCCAACCUGCCCUUCACCACGGGAUAACCCGGCGAAAGUCGGACUAAUACCGUAUGUUGUCCAUUGACGGCAUCCGAUUUGGACGAAAGGCUUGGCGGUGAGGGAUGGGGAUGCGUCCGAUUAGCCAGACGGCGGGGUAACGGCCCACCGUGGCUACGAUCGGUAGGGGUUCUGAGAGGAAGGUCCCCCACACUGGAACUGAGACACGGUCCAGACUCCUACGGGAGGCAGCAGUGAGGAAUAUUGGUCAAUGGGCGUAAGCCUGAACCAGCCAAGUAGCGUGCAGGAUGACGGCCCUAUGGGUUGUAAACUGCUUUUAUGCGGGGAUAAAGUGGCCCACGGGUGGGCUUUUGCAGGUACCGCAUGAAUAAGAACCGGCUAAUUCCGUG